rnacentral:rRNA from 1 species
UACGAAGGGGGCUAGCGUUGCUCGGAUUGACUGGGCGUAAAGGGCGCGUAGGCGGUUCGUACAGUCAGACGUGAAAUUCCUGGGCUCAACCUGGGGGCUGCGUUUGAUACGUAUGGACUUGAGUUCGGAAGAGGGUCGUGGAAUUCCCAGUGUAGAGGUGAAAUGCGCAGAUAUCAGGAGGAACACCGGUGGCGAAGGCGGGACUCUGGGCCGAUACUGACGCUGAGGAGCGAAAGCGUGGGGAGCAAACAGG